ACUCAAAGGAAUAGACGGGGGCCCGCACAAGCGGUGGAGCAUGUGGUUCAAUUCGACGCAACGCGAAGAACCUUACCUGGGCUCGAAGUAUCGUGGACGGUCGGUGAAAGCCGAUUUCCCCGCAAGGGGCCGCGAUAGAGGUGCUGCAUGGCUGUCGUCAGCUCGUGUCGUGAGAUGUUGGGUUAAGUCCCGCAACGAGCGCAACCCUCGCCCUUAGUUGCAACCCGAAAGGGGCACUCUAGGGGGACUGCCACGGAUAACGUGGAGGAAGGUGGGGAUGACGUCAAGUCCUCAUGGCCUUUAUGUCCAGGGCUACACACGUGCUACAAUGGUCGGUACAAUCCGCUGCCAACCCGCAAGGGGGAGCCAAUCGGAAAAAGCCGACCUCAGUUCGGAUUGCAGUCUGCAACUCGACUGCAUGAAGCUGGAAUCGCUAGUAAUGGCGGAUCAGAAUGCCGCCGUGAAUACGUUCCCGGGCCUUGUACACACCGCCCGU
rnacentral:rRNA from 1 species